UGGGGAAUAUUGGACAAUGGAGGAAACUCUGAUCCAGCCAUGCCGCGUGAGUGAAGAAGGCCCUCGGGUUGUAAAGCUCUUUUGUCCCUGACGAUAAUGACGGUAGGGGAAGAAAAAGCCACGGCUAACUUCGUGCCAGCAGCCGCGGUAAUACGAAGGUGGCAAGCGUUGUUCGGAUUUACUGGGCGUAAAGCGUGCGUAGGCGGUUUAAUAAGUCAGGAGUGAAAGCCCAAGGCUCAACCCUGGAAUUGCUUUUGAAACUAUUAAACUUGAAUCCGGUAGAGGUUGGCGGAAUUCCCAGUGUAGAGGUGAAAUUCGCAGAUAUUGGGAGGAACACCAGUGGCGUAAGCGGCCAACUGGACCGGUAUUGACGCUGAGGCACGAAAGCAUGGGGAGCAAA
rnacentral:rRNA from 1 species